CACUCCUGCGGGAGGCAGCAGUGGGGAAUAUUGGACAAUGGGCGCAAGCCUGAUCCAGCCAUGCCGCGUGAGUGAUGAAGGCCCUAGGGUUGUAAAGCUCUUUCACCGGUGAAGAUAAUGACGGUAACCGGAGAAGAAGCCCCGGCUAACUUCGUGCCAGCAGCCGCGGUAAUACGAAGGGGGCUAGCGUUGUUCGGAUUUACUGGGCGUAAAGCGCACGUAGGCGGACUAUUAAGUCAGGGGUAAAAUCCCGGGGCUCAACCCCGGAACUGCCUUUGAUACUGGUAGUCUUGAGUUCGAGAGAGGUGAGUGGAAUUCCGAGUGUAGAGGUGAAAUUCGUAGAUAUUCGGAGGAACACCAGUGGCGAAGGCGGCUCACUGGCUCGAUACUGACGCUGAGGUGCGAAAGCGUGGGGAGCAAACAGGAUUAGAAACCCUUGUAGUCCC
rnacentral:rRNA from 1 species